rnacentral:rRNA from 1 species
ACUCCUACGGGAGGCAGCAGUGGGGAAUAUUGCACAAUGGGCGCAAGCCUGAUGCAGCCAUGCCGCGUGUAUGAAGAAGGCCUUCGGGUUGUAAAGUACUUUCAGCAGUGAGGAAAGGGUGGGUAUGUUUAAUAGCAUACUCAUUUUGACGUUAGCUGCAGAAGAAGCACCGGCUAACUCCGUGCCAGCAGCCGCGGGUAAUACGGAGGGUGCGAGCGUUAAUCGGAAUUACUGGGCGUAAAGCGCAUGCAGGUGGUUUGUUAAGUCAGAUGUGAAAG